UGCCGCGUGUGUGAAGAAGGCCUUCGGGUUGUAAAGCACUUUUGUCCGGAAAGAAAACCUCGUGGUUAAUACCCGUGGGGGAUGACGGUACCGGAAGAAUAAGCACCGGCUAACUACGUGCCAGCAGCCGCGGUAAUACGUACGGUGCAAGCGUUAAUCGGAAUUACUGGGCGUAAAGCGUGCGCAGGCGGUUCGCUAAGACAGAUGUGAAAUCCCCGGGCUUAACCUGGGAACUGCAUUUGUGACUGGCGGGCUAGAGUAUGGCAGAGGGGGGUAGAAUUCCACGUGUAGCAAUGAAAUGCGUAGAGAUGUGGAGGAAUACCGAUGGCGAAGGCGGCCCCCUGGGCCAAUACUGACGCUCAUGCACGAAAGCGUGGGGAGCAAACAGGAUUAGAUACCCUGGUAGUCCACGCCCUAAACGAUGUCAACUAGUUGUUGGGGAUUCAUUUCCUUAGUAACGUAGCUAACGCGUGAAGUUGACCGCCUGGGGAGUACGGUCGCAAGAUUAAAACUCAGAGGAAUUGACGGGGACCCGCACAAGCGGUGGAUGAUGUGGAUUAAUUCGAUGCAACGCGAAAAACCUUAC
rnacentral:rRNA from 1 species